AAUAAAUUAAAUUCAUUUGAAGUAAAAUAAAUUCCAUUAUACUUUAAUUUAACCAUAUGAUCAACACUUGUACAUAGUGCCAUUUACUUUGUGUUCUUCACUCUCGCGCUGUGUUGUGAUCGUUCGAAACUCAUUGCCAGAACGAAUGCAAAUUUCAUUUGGGAAGGAUCGGUGCCGGAAGAUGCAGUGAAAAUUAUGAAAUGUUAAUAGAAAAGUGGUUAAGUAAAUCGUGAAAGAUGUCAACGCAGGCGUAAAUGCAGUUUGUUUUGUUACUUGAUCUACGGCAAUUUUAUUACCAAAGCACCUGAUAACCGAUCAAAGAAGGUGAAUCGGGCUUACAGAGUCGCCGUUUAACUUCAAAUAUCUUCGUGAUCGGUAAACGCAUCAAGUGUUUUUCUUCCAACAGCACGCGCCAUCGGUAGAGCAAGCAGCUAACGUUUCGUUCGUCUAGCACGCACCAUCAAGAAUUGAAAUAUUCCCGAAUAGCUCUGUGAAUAAAAACUGCACACUUACUGUCCGAAUUUCCUGGAAUUUUGUGAUCGGUCUACGCUCGCGGGAAUGGUGGGUCCGUUGAGGAGAAGGAAAGAAAGGGUGGGAGCGAGGAUUAACCAAAAACGCGGCACUGAGAAUGAGGGGAGGUGCGCUCAGCGCUCACGCUGGGACACUCACGAUGCUUGAAAUAAAAUGUUAACAAGCAUCGAUUUCAAGCAUGCAUGUCGCGCGACAUUUUGCCAAGC